CCCGAAAGCUAUUUAGGUAGCGCCUCGUGAAUUCAUCUCCGGGGGUAGAGCACUGUUUCGGCAAGGGGGUCAUCCCGACUUACCAACCCGAUGCAAACUGCGAAUACCGGAGAAUGUUAUCACGGGAGACACACGGCGGGUGCUAACGUCCGUCGUGAAGAGGGAAACAACCCAGACCGCCAGCUAAGGUCCCAAAGUCAUGGUUAAGUGGGAAACGAUGUGGGAAGGCCCAGACAGCCAGGAUGUUGGCUUAGAAGCAGCCAUCAUUUAAAGAAAGCGUAAUAGCUCACUGGUCGAGUCGGCCUGCGCGGAAGAUGUAACGGGGCUAAACCAUGCACCGAAGCUGCGGCAGCGACACUAUGUGUUGUUGGGUAGGGGAGCGUUCUGUAAGCCUGCGAAGGUGUGCUGUGAGGCAUGCUGGAGGUAUCAGAAGUGCGAAUGCUGACAUAAGUAACGAUAAAGCGGGUGAAAAGCCCGCUCGCCGGAAGACCAAGGGUUCCUGUCCAACGUUAAUCGGGGCAGGGUGAGUCGACCCCUAAGGCGAGGCCGAAAGGCGUAGUCGAUGGGAAACAGGUUAAUAUUCCUGUACUUGGUGUUACUGCGAAGGGGGGACGGAGAAGGCUAUGUUGGCCGGGCGACGGUUGUCCCGGUUUAAGCGUGUAGGCUGGUUUUCCAGGCAAAUCCGGAAAAUCAAGGCUGAGGCGUGAUGACGAGGCACUACGGUGCUGAAGCAACAAAUGCCCUGCUUCCAGGAAAAGCCUCUAAGCAUCAGGUAACAUCAAAUCGUACCCCAAACCGACACAGGUGGUCAGGUAGAGAAUACCAAGGCGCUUGAGAGAACUCGGGUGAAGGAACUAGGCAAAAUGGUGCCGUAACUUCGGGAGAAGGCACGCUGAUAUGUAGGUGAAGUCCCUCGCGGAUGGAGCUGAAAUCAGUCGAAGAUACCAGCUGGCUGCAACUGUUUAUUAAAAACACAGCACUGUGCAAACACGAAAGUGGACGUAUACGGUGUGACGCCUGCCCGGUGCCGGAAGGUUAAUUGAUGGGGUCAGCGCAAGCGAAGCUCUUGAUCGAAGCCCCGGUAAACGGCGGCCGUAACUAUAACGGUCCUAAGGUAGCGAAAUUCCUUGUCGGGUAAGUUCCGACCUG
rnacentral:rRNA from 1 species